rnacentral:rRNA from 1 species
CGCCUGCACUCUGGGAUAAGCCUGGGAAACUGGGUCUAAUACUGGAUAUGACCUUUCUCCUUAUGGGGUUUGGUGGAAAGUUUUUCGGUGUAGGAUGAGCCCGCGGCCUAUCAGCUUGUUGGUGGGGUGAUGGCCUACCAAGGCGACGACGGGUAGCCGGCCUGAGAGGGUGAUCGGCCACAUUGGGACUGAGAUACGGCCCAG